rnacentral:tRNA from 1 species
GGAGAGGUGUCCGAGUGGUUGAAGGAGCACGCUUGGAAAGCGUGUAUGGUAGCAAUACUAUCGCAGGUUCGAAUCCUGUUCUCUCCGCCA